ACCCCCUCCCAGAAAGGGAAUUGUACAAGCCCAAGGCCCUCAACUAUAAAAAUAAAAAAUAAGUUUUUAGAUAUGUGGGACAAGCUGACCCAUCAUUUAGACGAAACAGACCAGAAAAGAAAACAAAAUGCAGAAACCAGACUAAAUUAUGGGCACUACUCCAUGGGCCACCUGACAGGAAAAAAAAACAGUCCCUGAGCCCCCGGAAGCCCUGACCACCAUGUACUUUUUGCUAACUCACUGUUAUGAUUAUAGCCAAAAUAAGUAACAUACACGUAUGCCUCAUUUACUCCACCAAUCACAUCCCUGUAACCAUGCAUCUGCUUCUGUAAGCCUGCUUCUGCUCCCCAAUGCCCUAUAAAAACCCGUCCCUGGUUCUGCUAGGCGCACCAGUCUUCCAAAUUGACUGGGACGCCCACAGAUACCUGUGUAUCCUGAUCAAUAAAAAUCCUCUUACAGAUUACAGCCGGUGGACUCGGACUGGUCAUUGGGGCUUGAAGAUCUCCCUCCUGAGGGAAGAUUCUCUCUGAGAGUCUUACAUAUGGGGGCUCGUCCGGGAUCGGAGAUCCUCUGCCUAGAGACCACCGACCACCCACCGGGAGGUCUUCUUCACCACUGAGGAAAGACGGAAUCCUACUAGAGGCCAGAAAGAAUGUUCCAGACAUGGAUGGAAGACCCUCACUCCUGACUGUUGACUUGAAUACCCCUGAAGGUAGGGAGUGCUCCAGGUCUGCCACCAGGCUCCAAGGGUGGGUCUCUGAGGGGCUGGAAAAUGCCCCACCAAUCUGGCUAAGAUAAGGAAAAGAUAUAAAGAGAGAAAGUUACAGAAAUUUAAAGGGUUAAGCUAAGUUGCUGAGAGUUAGUGUAAGUUACAGAGAAAGUAAAGUUGAAGUGUAGUUACAUAAGUGGACAGCAUCUAAUAGCUGUAGAGGAAGAUGCAGAAGAUAUGAGAGCGACUGAGGAAGAGAAAGAGGAAAGAAGGUAAAAAGAGCAGGAAGCUAAGAAAGAAAAGAGACAAAAAGAAGAAGUUGGAGAGCUAAAGAGGGAUAGAAGACAGGAGAGGAAUAUAUACUGGCCACAGUAAUUAGGGAACCUAGGAAGACAGUACCUGGCAACAGAAGAGAAUUCCUAGCUAAAGAUCAGUGUGCCUAUCGCAAGGAAAAAGGACAUUGGGUGAGGGACUGCCCCAGGAAGAACAAGAAGGGCCUCUCCAGCAACCCGGGAGGCAAGCCUCUUGGUUCUAGAGUGCUGGCUAUGCGCAAAGAUAGAAGGGAAGCCUGCCCAGUUGUUUUGUGAAUACGGGGGCCCAACACUCUGUGCUCCUACGCCCAAAUGGGCUAGUGUCCAGCAAAAGACCUUGAGUACAGGGAACUACCGACAACAAAUGAUACUCAUGGACUACCCGAAGAACGGUGGACCUUGGCGUGGGCCGGGUAUCCCACUUGUUCCUUGUGAUUCCAGACUGCCCCUACGAGUCUAAACCCUGCAACCCUGCUCCCGGACCCCGACCUAGACACCCCCCUUCAUGACUGUCAGCAGGAGCUCACUAAAGCACAGGAGUGGCAUAAAGAUCUGACUGACCAGCCACCAAAGGGGGUAGAUGCCAUCUGGCUCAUAGAUGGGAGCAGCUUCUUAGAGAAGAAAAAAGAUGGGCUGGGGCAACAGUGGUUGAUGGAAACAGAGUCAUAUGGGUUCAGGCCCUACCAGAAGGCACCACUACUCAGAGAGUAGAGCUUGCUCCCCUCACCAAAGCCCUUGAGCCGAGAAGGAGACUUAACAUCUAUGUAGACAGCACGUAUGCCUUUGCUACAGCCCAUCAGCAGAGGGGCCUGCUGACAUCUGAGGGCAAGAAAAAAAAAAAAAAAAAAAAAAAGAAGGGCCCUCCAUGACCCAGCCAGGCCGAAGAAGAGACUCUGGUACACCUCAACGAGAAAGAAGAUCCUGCUACAAUUUUUACAGGCAGAGGCCAUGGUAAAACAAAUACAUCAAUGGACUCACUUAGGGGUAAGCAAACUCAUCCAGACGUUUUCAAAAACUAAAUAUUAUGUUACAGGUCUCAAGUAUCUCGUGGAACAGAUAGUACAGUGAUGUAUACCAUGCCAAAAGGUAACUGUUUUCAGAAAAGUUGACUGUGGUAGGAGGCUCCGUGGGGAACGGCCUGGAUACUACUGAGAAGUGGACUUCACAGAGAUAAAACCAGGAAAAUAUGGUUAUAAAUGUCUCCCAGUGUUUAUAGAUAUCUUUUCAGGAAUAGGUAGAAGCUUUCCCCACCAAGCAAGAGACGGCCUCAAUAGUCAUCAAGAAGAUACUAGAAGAAAUCUUCUCCUGAUUUGGAAUGCCCAAGGUAAUCUGGUCAGACAACAGCCCUACUUUCGUUGCCAAGGUAAGCCAGGGUGUGGCCAAGUAUUUAGAGGUUGAUUGAAAAUUACGUUAUAUUUACAGACCUCAAAGUUCAGGACAGAUAGAGAGAAUAAAUAAGACUCUAAAAGAAACCCUGACCAAAUUGACCAUGGAGACUGGCGUAGACUGGGUGACACUCCUUCCCUCUUGCUCUCUUCAGAGCAUAUGGGGCCUCAGCUCCCCUGACUGUAUUAGAUGAUGUUACUGAACCAACAUGUCAUAGUAAUAAUGAUUUAUAUGCCAGGCUAAAAGACCUACAGGUGAUACAGAAAGAAAUCUGCUCACAGCUGGCAGCAGCCUAUGCCCCGGGGACCCCUGAGACAUCUCAUCAGUUCCAGGUUAGAGACUACAGCUACAUACAAUGACACGGAGCCCAGACACUCGAGCCUCGCUGGAAAGGACCGUACCUGGUGCUGCUGACCACCCUGACAGCCGUCAAUUCUCAGCCCUCACCAGCAGCGUACUAGCUGUUGGGGCUGAGAGCUGGGACCUAGAGGGACACUCAGAUCUUCAAAAAGCUCCCUAGACUUAAGUGAUUGGGAGGUUGCUAUAAUGCUCACUUGAGGAGUGUGUUUUAGAAACAAGAAUUUCAUGUUUGCCUGUUUGCCCUGGGUUCCCUCGGAAUAGGUGUAAGGAUAGGCUUGAUUUUUAUUGCAAAUGAUGUAACAUUACAUAUGUUAGUACUCCUAACACUUCUUGGGACUGUGCCUCAGGGAUCACAAUCUAUAUAAGUUUAGAAGUUCUAAAAGACCUUGGUGUAUAGGUUCAGAUAGUGUCCAGGUUAGAAUCCUGAUGCUAAAGACUUAAUAAGACACAAAAGAGAGUUGAGAAUUAUUUAAGGCUAUCUAGGUGCUACAAGGGCAGCACAAGGACAUCUGCUGUUGCCCUACAAUGCAAGGCUUAUAGAGAAUUCAAAACUGCCAUUGACUCAGAUAUGAAAAGAUUAAAAAAAGACUUUUUAGCUGGCCUCCAAGAACACCUAACCUCCCUCUCAGAGGUAGUCCUUCAAAAUAAGAGAAGAUUAGACCUGAUAUUCCUUAAAGAAAGAGUCUGUGUGCUACACUAAAAGAAGAAUGUUGUUUCUAUACAGAUCAGACAAUAAUAAUAAGAGAUAUAGUCUUUCAGUCAUUCAAACUUUUGUGCUGAGACAACAGUAUCAGAUGGUAAAACAACAACAACAACAACAAAAAAAAACAGAGGUACCUUAACCAAGUUGAGUGGAAGAUUCCACUCAAGGACAAAAAAAGAAAAUGGGGGAAUGAAAGACCCCCUCCCCGAAAGGGAAUUGUACAAGCCCAAGGCCCUCAACUAUAAAAAUAAAAAAUAAGUUUUUAGAUAUGUGGGACAAGCUGACCCAUCAUUUAGACGAAACAGACCAGAAAAGAAAACAAAAUGCAGAAACCAGACUAAAUUAUGGGCACUACUCCAUGGGCCACCUGACAGGAAAAAAAAAAAAAGUCCCUGAGCCCCCGGAAGCCCUGACCACCAUGUACUUUUUGCUAACUCACUGUUAUGAUUAUAGCCAAAAUAAGUAACAUACACGUAUGCCUCAUUUACUCCACCAAUCACAUCCCUGUAACCAUGCAUCUGCUUCUGUAAGCCUGCUUCUGCUCCCCAAUGCCCUAUAAAAACCCGUCCCUGGUUCUGCUAGGCGCGCCAGUCUUCCAAAUUGACUGGGACGUCAACAGAUACCUGUGUAUCCUGAUCAAUAAAAAUCCUCUUACAGAUUACA